CAGUCCUCAUCCUCAUACUUGAUCAUAGCCAGAUCUGUGGAAGGAAAACGUCAACAAAUGUGAGAAAAAAACUUUUUUCACCAAGAUUUUCCGAUUCGNUUUUUCUAAGAAAUCUCACACUACUAGCCCUAUUCUUAACCAUUCAGAUAAAUUCCAGUUAUGCUCUAAAAUACCAAGACAACUAUUUGAAAAUGACAUUUUACGAGAGCGAGAUGGUUGUUCCUGGCCUCCCAAGAUACGAAGAUGUCUUGAUCGACAGCCCAUCUUGUCAUCAAUCCUUAAAAUUCUGGAGCCAAAAAGCCGAUCAGAUUGCACCAGUAUUAUCAGAGUUAGCCAGCAAUGUAGAGAAAUACCAUGGCACUGGUGUGAAGCACCAAAAAUCAGGCCUAAACAUCAGUGAAGCCUUGGGCAAUGUUGUGAAGGUCUUCCAGGAUGACGACAAGAUUUCAGAACCAAUAACAAAGUUUACAGAUGUUUUGCAGAGGAUAGAGUGUUACCGUGAUAUGUUCCUUAACCAGACACAGCUUCUCAUGUGGGAACCUCUAGUAAAGUUAACACAGGAUUAUGACAAAGCUAAAGAACUCAAUACAGAAGUCCUAAAGGCAAGAGAAGCAAUGCACAUAGCAUGGGAAAAGUUCUCAAGCUGUCCUCAUGUUGAAAAUUUACAAGAGGUUGGGCUGCUGGACAAAUUGGCCCACUCACUACUUAAUGCAAGACGGAAUUACCAAAAAGUUCUCUUGCAAUAUGUUACUAUGCUAAAAGAAAUCCAUACACUCAAAAAGGUUGUAAUUUUACAGAAAGUCUUAGAGCACAUGCUGGCACAGUUUUCUUUUUUCAAUUUUGGUUAUCAGACAUUGAAGGAUAUAGAGCCCUACAUGAAUGGAUUGUUCCAAGAGCUUCAAGAAAGCCACACUAAAGUAGAGGAAUCAUUGAAGAAGGAAGUAGAAACACAACAGGAGAUGGAGAAAGAAGCUGUCCUACAGCAGCAAAGGGAUGGACAAGGGUUUGCAGAGCCAAGUUCAGCAGGCAUUGGUCAGUCUGUCGCAUCAAUGAACACACAAGCAGGAAAAAUCUUUAACAAAAUUGGGGAUUUAUUUCAAGCUGGGUCUUUUGGCCUCGCAGGUUCACGAAAAUCAUACAAGGCGCCUUCUAGUCCCUCUGACCAAGAGUGGGAAGUCAUAGAAUCUCAGCGCACUUCAUCCAAAGACAAGCUAUCAAGCGAAGAGCUAUCAAACAAGCCGUCCUCAAGCAGUAGUACUCCAGAAACAAAACCCAAAAGAACUCAUGAUUCAGGUGUAAAACCUUCUCCAAAAAAAGAGCACCAUGCAACAGGAAAAGCCGAAGAGGCUGGCCCCACAACAAAAGAAGCAGGUCAAGUCGUAGCCGUUGUACCUCCAGAAUUGAUAAGUCCUACCACAGGAAAUAAAGAAACACUCUCAGAGAAUUUGCUACCAGCUCCUAUCGCCAGUCUACAGCCACCCACAACACCAUCGUUAAACGCCUAUAAAGGAUGCAAAACAGGAUAUCUCAGAAUACGACAGAAAGCUUUCCCGAAAAACAGAUGGCCUUUACUGUAUUUCAUCGUCGACAAAGAAAAUGGCAACCUACUAGCCCAAGGACAAGAACAAACCCAACCUUCAACUUUAGAGAAUUUACUUCUCUGCACAGUUAAGAUUUGCGAUUCUGAAGACGCGGACAGAAACUUUUGUUUCCAACUGAUUUCGACGACGAGUGAGCGAGUAUUUCAAGCGUUGACUAACCUGGAAGUCCAGGAAUGGAUUACUGCGAUACAGGAAGCAACAGCGGAUGCCCUUAGGAACUCUAAAGCGAAAUUGAAGUCGCUCGCGAGGUCAAACUUAUCUGACGACAUAGGUCAUAAGAGAGAACCCAGAUCUCUCGUUCUAAAUGCAGCUGAAAGAAUACGAAAAGUUGCUGGUAAUAAGUACUGUGCUGAUUGCUCUUCUCCCAGACCUGAUUGGGCAAGCAUUAAUAUCGGCAUAACGAUAUGUAUCGAGUGUUCUGGAGUACACAGGAAUAUGGGUGUCCACGUUUCUAAGGUCCGUUCUCUGACGUUGGAUAAAUGGGAAGAUACCACUGUUGAUUUCAUGGAAGCCAUGGGGAAUACCAAAGCUAACCAGAUAUACGAAGGCAAUUUGAGAGAAUAUCCCAAACCAACUAGAGAUUCUUCCAAGGACGAUAGACAGAAGUUCAUUAAACUCAAAUAUGUAGAGCAGAGAUUUUAUAAAGCAUUACCAUCUGAGGAUCUGGACCCAGAAAUAGCAAAAGUCUUGGCAAGUAGACCUGGGGAAAGUGAAGAAGACCUGUUUGAUGUUUCAGAGGAGGUAGGUGCAGAUAUUUGAUGACGAAAGAGAACUAAUGGGUUCCAGUCCACUGUGUCUUAUACAAGAUUGUCAGGAAUGUCCUAAAGGAUCUUGCUCAGAAAAAAGUCACCAUAGUCCACAGCUUGUUAUGAGUGACUCAGGAGAGGAU
rnacentral:misc_RNA from 1 species